CUUUCCUUUCAUUUCAUUGAACUCAGUGAAGAGAAUCCUCCUGGAAACACACAACCUACCAAGCUAAAUUAUCUCACUUCUACUGAAAGAUCUUACUGCAAAUUCCAUUCCACUCUGAUCAAGCCUUUCUUGGAAUAUAUAUCUAGAAUUUGUACUAAAUUGUCAUAUGCUCAUGUAAAUGUUACCCUGCAAUUAUUUCCUUAACAAAUUAGUCAUUUGUUCAGUAGUAAUUUUUAAACAAAAUUUAUUGAACACGAUAUGACAGACCAGGAAUUACACUGCUUAAGGUGUUUGCCCUUGUGGAAUAUAUAAUCUAGUGGGAGAAGAAUACCAUGAUAAAUGAAUGAGUAUAUACAACACCAGGAGUGAACCCUAAUGUAAACUAUGGACUUUGGGUGAGUAUGAUGUGUCAAUGUAGGUUCAUCAAUUGUAAAAAUGUACCACUCUUUUGGGGGAUGUUGGUAAUGGUAGAGGACGUGCAUGUGUGGGGUCAGGGGCUUACAGGAAAUCUCUACACAUCCCUCUCAAUUUUUCUGUGAACUUAAAACUGCUCUAAAAAUAAAGUCUUAAAAAAUGUGUGUAUAAUAAAGGAAACAUACAUAAAAAUAAACAAGUAAAUGAUAAUGAUUACAAAUCACAGGAAGUACAAUGAAAGAAAUAAUAGGAAUAAAGGAAAGCAUGUGAAGUGAUUUGAGUUACAUUUGAGUUUCAGGGAAAAUCUUUCCAGGAGGUAAUAUUUAAGUUGAAAUCUGAAGAAUGAGAAGGAGCUAGCUAGGAUGUGUGUGUGUGUGUGUGUGUGUGUGUGUGUGUGUGUGUGUGAAUGUUCCAGACAUGUGUAAAGCCGUGAGAUGGGAAGAAGCAAGGCAAAAUUAGAGGCUGAAAGAAGGCUAGUGAGUGAUACCAGCAAGAGCUGAAAUUUAAGAGGAAGAGGCAUGAUGAUGCAGGACUGUAUAAAAAAAAGUAAUCGGUCUGGAUUUUAUUCUACUGACAUGGGAAACCACUGAAGGAUUUUUCAGCAGUUUGGUUUGUACUCACAAACCAUAGCUAAAGUGGAACUUGCAAGUUGAAGUCCAACCGGUACCAGAAUUUGAUUGCAAGCAAUGAAAAGAAACUCUGCCUAAUUAAACAGAGAAGAAAUUUGUUGGAAGAAUACAGGUUAGCUCACAGAAUCAAAAGGAAAGCUGCUGAGCAGCCCCAGGAACAGCAGACCUAGAGCAGUUCUAGGGAUUAGGUAAAAAGGAUCAGUGGACAAUGUCUGCGGGAAGCUCACUGGAAUGAAUCUACACCCUGUCUCAGCAACAUUCUGCUCAGGAUCCAGAUUCCCAGAAUGAGAGUUCACAAGGCCACACCUUGACUGGGACAUUCUGAACAUCUUCAUUGAAAUUAUGACGAAGAAGGAGUUGGAAAGACAUAGAUCUCCAGAGGAGAUGGAACAUAAUUUCCUACUUCACGAGCAGGGGCUUCACAUAGAGCUAUCCUUCCAAAGGAUACUGCGGGGAAAGAAGAGACUGCAUGGAAAGAGGAGAAAAAGAGUAGUUGUAUAUUGGAAAAGCCUGACAAAUACUACCUCAAUUGGGUUAUCAAGCCCUUAAUCUCAGAUCAGUCGUGAGAAAGACACCAAACAAAUCCAAAUGGGGGACAUUCUGCAAAAUAACUCACCAGUACUCCUCAAAACUAUAAAGGUCAUCAAAAACAAGGAAACUCUGAGAAAUUGUCAUAGCCAAGAGGAGUCUGAGGAGAUAAUGACAACUAAAUGCAAUCUAGUAUCCUGGAUGAGAUCCUGGAAUAGAAAAAGAACAUCAGCAAUGUGAACAAACCAAACUGUCAAACACUGAACCCGUGGAAAAUGAAUGUACUUCCAAAAUCAUUUCCCUGAUCCACUGCAAACAGCUUGAUCACAUUGGAGAAUGUGACCCAUGCAGUUGCUGAAGCGUGUUUUCCCACUAUACCUCAUGCAGAAAAAUCAAACUAAGAGUAAUCUUGAAAUGUCACUUCACAAACAAACUGAAGAAACUGGAAGAGAUAAACUAGGAUUUCCCCUGGUGGGCCAUGCAGAGUGGCAGUGGGUACCUGGGAGAGCCCUAGAAACUUGGGGGGAGGGUCAAAGACCAGGACCUGGUGCUGAGCUUCAGGGAAUGAAUCUUCCUAGAGCAUUCCCACUGGUGAAUCAGGAUACCAUCUGCAUAUGUCAUCAAGUGGCUCGCUUCCCGCCUUUGCCAAAUAUAUUAGAUUUUUAUUGUUGCAGUAACAAAUCGCCAUACGCUGAGUGGAUUAAAGCAUCACAAAUUUAUUUUUACAGUUCUGGAGGUCAAAAGUCCAGUAAGGAUCUCACUAGAUUAACAUAGAUGUGUCAGCAGAGUUGUGUCUGCUUUUGGAGGUUAGCAUAGCAGGUGGAGUCUCUCUCAUCACAAGUUUCACUGACUCUUUUGUCACCAUACCUUUUUCUCUGACCACCUUUGGAAAAGGUCUCUGCUUUUAAGGAUUCGUGUGAUUAGAUGGGGCCCACCUGGCUAUUUCAGGAUAAUUUCCCCAUCUCAAGGUCUAUAACCUUAAUCAUAGCUGCAAAGUACCCUUGUUAUGUAAGGUAACAUUCACAGAUUUGGGGGGACAGGAAAUAGGUUUUUUAGGGGGUCAUUAUCCUGCCUAGCACAUCAAGUGAAGAAAGAGUAGGAUAAUCUUUAUCUUUCUGGCCUCCGCCUUCCUGAUCUUAACCCGCGCUGACUGGAUCUGGGCCAUACAUUCCAACAUAUUCUAACACUACCCCCUUCGUAUUGCUUAGUUUUAUUUAGCUCACUGGCUUGAAAACCAUAUCAUCUAUGAUUUCCCUUAUUAUCCUCAACCAUAUCUAGGAUGUGGAAAAUGUAUAAGAAAUAAUGUGCUUUUUGUGUUAACUGUAAAAAUAUGUGUUAAUUCUCAGUAACAAUCUUGCAUCUACACAUCAGUUGUCUCUUGGGGUAGGGGCCUAAAUUUUUUUCCAAAAUGAAACAUACGCAUUAAAACAGCAGUCUGAGAUGGUCAUAAUAUACUUAACAAUGGCAACCAAUUUGGAUUCUUUGAAUAAAUAAAACUGUGAAUAGAUGGGUUUCUUUAGAUGAGGACCUUUAGAGAACUCCCACCUUCCUUUUAGUCUGUGCCCUGUGUAGCGUCAGGAGGACAGAAGAUUAUUGUAUUGUGUUCUUAGGACCAAAUGAAUAAACAUCAUUUGCCUAUUAAAAAUUACGGUAUUUUAUUUUUAAAGAACUGUGCUGGGGGCGCCUCGCUGGCUUAGUCAGAACAGCAUUGAUUCUUGAUGCCGGGGUCGUAAAUUCAAGCCUCAUGUUGGAUAUAGAGAUAAAUAAAUGAAUAAAUAAAAACUUAAUAAAAUUGUUUAAAAUUUUUCAGUUUUUCUGUGCUGACAGCUCAGAGCCUGAAGCCUGCUUCAGAUUCUAGGUCUCUGUCUCUCUCUUCCCCUCCCCCACUCAUGCUCUUUUUUCUCUCUCAAAAAUAAAUAAAAACAAAAAAUAAAAUAAAACAAAAUUCAGCUUAAAAAAAGAACUAUGCUAAUACAAGUUUUGAAGUAGAGGAUAUGUAUCUUGGUUACAAUUUUACCGAUGAAUGAUAUUAAGUUUUUUUACAUUAUGUAAAUUGAAGACAAAAUUGAAUUUACCUUGAUGUUAAUUAAGCUUAAGCUUCAAGUCCCCUAAUUUUGUAUUAGUAGUAUUUGAUCAUAGUUUUCUAAAGACUAUCAAAAAUGCAUAGGUUUAGGACCCCAUAAAACUUGGGUCCACCACUGACUAGAGCACUUUCCUGUUUGAAUUGCCUAAAUGUUUAAUAAUAAUAUUUCUUUAAAAUAAAUAUAUUUGGUUAUAUUAUUUUGCUAUUUUCUAUAUCUUAGGUGCGAUAGACUAUUUGUUCACAAUUGUUUAUUCCUCUCCACUUUUCCAUAUUUCCUUUAAAAAAUUUUUUUAAGUUUAUUUAUUUUUGAGAGAGAGAGAAGGGGGGAAGAGAACAUGAGUGAGGGAGGGGCAGAGAGAGAGGGAGACACAGAAUCUGAAGCAGGCUCCAGGCUCUGAGCUGUCAGCACAGAGACAGACAGGAGCCUAGAACCCACGAGCGAUGAGAUCAUGACCUAAGCCAGACACUUAACUGACUGAGCCACCCAGGCUCCCCACCAUAUUUCCUCUUAAUACAACAUAUUUCCUCACCCUACUGACUUCGGAUUUGCUUGGCCAAUGGAAUGUGGGCAGAUGAGUAUGCUGUGUCCCAGCAGAACAAUGUCCUUGUGUAAUUUGGCUCUGUCUCUUAGCUUCUGCUCUCUACUAUGAGUAUUACCUGGGUCCCAGAACGAGAAGACAUGUAGAACCCAGACAAACUCAGCACAAGCCCUGUGAAUCUUUAGCCUUCAUGUAAUGUGAAAGAAAAAUAAAUAUUUGUGGGUGCACUGAGAUUUGGCCAUUGUUUGUUAUUGUAGCAAAGGCCAAGAGUGAUUGUCAUUCUGUUUACUCUUUUAUUUCACAGUAAGGAAUCUGUUCAUCUAUCUGUCAUCUAUCUAUCUAUCUAUCUAUCCAUCCACUCUAGUAUUUUCCUGGAUUUGCAGUAUACAUAUUACACUCUUUGGUUGCCUGUAACUAGCAUACUUAUUGAUGGUUGCCAAGGACUGAGUCAUUAAACACAUGCCUUUUCUUCCCUGGAGAGUCCUGUGUGUGUGUGUGUGUGUGUGUGUGUGUGUGUGUGUAUUUCCUUUCCUUCUUUUUCUUCUUCUUCUUCUUUUUUUUUUUUUAAAGAAAAUUGGCAGGUACACAGGGAAGGAAGCUUGUAUCAUUGGGGACUUCAGAUCCCAGGACUGUGCAACAUGCUCACCAUUUUCUGAAAAUGCAAAAUCCAUCUCUGUAUGUUUUCUUGAAGUUAUUUCAUAAAAUAUGUGAUUUUUUUCUAAUUAUUUUUAAUUAGGCCCCUAUAGAAUUAGUGCAAAUUUCCCCUACUUGUUUAUCUGAAAACCUAUUAUGUGAAGUGAGGUUACGUCCCCUGAUGGGUACUAUUUACAUUUUAAAGCAUCUAAGGGGUCUCUUUUGUGGAUGCUCUCCAGUGUAGCCAAAUUAAUGUCAUUUCAAUUUUUUGUAUUUCCACAUUAUUUACCCAAUUAGUAAUAACAGAUGUUAUUUGUGUGUAAGUUCAUUAAAUACAUUAUUUCCUUAAACAUACAAGGUUAUCAGGAAAUCUAUCCUUUCCCUGAAAAGUGUUACGAUUCUAAACCAUCAACUUUUUUGACUAUGUAUAUAAUGAGAUAUCUUAAUAUGUAUCUGUUGAAAAACUCACUCUUGGUAGAAAAAUGACCUGUUUUUGAAAAGCAGUAUGAUAUUCUCUUUAUUUUACAAUUGCUUUGAUGGGCCUGACUGAAUGUGUACUCCAUGGCCCUGUUUCAAAACACUCCUAAAUUUGAAUUGUGAAAAAAAAUCUUUAUGUGAAAAAAAUUUUUUAGAAAUAACCACUCACAGUUAUGUAAAAUCUUAAAGCUAUUUAAUAUAUCUUAAAUUUAAGCAAAAGGAACAAAAAGUUAAUGUUCAAUAAAUUAUGUUAAAAAAUAACCCAGGGUAUAGAGAAUGCUAGAAUUAUCUUUAUACCUUUUUGUAUAUGUGUGUGAGUUCAAAUGUAUUCUUACUCUAAAAUAAAAAUGCCCAAGAAAGAUUUAAAGGGAGGUUAUAUCAUAAAUUAUAGUAGGUAUUCAACAAAUGUUGAGAGAAUAAGUUGGACUGAGCUAGAAAAAUGUAUCUUUUUUUUCAGGGGAUAAGAAAAUGGAAAAAGGCACUUUUGGAACAUUGCAAUAUCUAAAUUUAGGUUGCAUUGAUACAUACUCAGAAUUGAUUGUGGAAAGAGCACCUCUAAUGGCUUGACUAUAUUUUUCUUGUAUUAGACUAAAUGUUCUUUUAGCAAAAAAGUUUUAUUUCUUUAGGUCAAGACUAGUGUGUACGUAGCCAUCUGUGAACUCUGUUGUCUGAGACUGACUUUUCCAUUAGUGAAGACAGAGCCAUAAAACUGACCAGGCAUGAGGCAGAUCCUAUCAGCACUGGAUCCAAGCAUGAAGGAGCUGCGGCAUGAAUCUUAGCUCUUCAAGUGCCAGGACCCUUUGGUCAAAUACUCAUUUUUUCUAAAUUUCAGUGUCUUCACUUGUAAAUGAGAAAUACAAUGCUCCAUCAUACAAUUGCUAUAAAAUUUAAGAUUCUGGAAGUAAAGUGUAGUAGUGGGCUAAAUGGUGGUCCCCCAAUAAAGAUACUCAUGUCAUAAUCCCUGGAGU